rnacentral:rRNA from 1 species
GUGCCAGCAGCCGCGGUAAUACGUAGGGGGCGAGCGUUGUCCGGAUUUAUUGGGCGUAAAAGGCUUGUAGGCGGCCACCGCGCGUCGUGCGUGAAAUCUCCCGGCUCAACUGGGAGGGGUCGUGCGAUACGGCGGGGCUCGAGGCCGGUAGGGGGACGCGGAAUUCCCGGUGUAGUGGUGGAAUGCGUAGAUAUCGGGAGGAACACCAGUGGCGAAGGCGGCGUCCUGGACCGGUGCUGACGCUGAGGAGCGAAAGCGUGGGGAGCGAUCCGGAUUAGAUACCCCCGUAGUCC